GAUGAAGAACGUAGCUAAAUGCGAUACUUGGUGUGAAUUGCAGAAUCCCGUGAACCAUCGAGUUUUUGAACGCAAGUUGCGCCCGAAGCCUUUUGGCCGAGGGCACGUCUGCCUGGGCGUCACGCAUCGCGUCGCCCCCCACAAUUCUCCGUAAAAGGAACAUGUGUUUUGCGGGCGGAUAUUGGUCUCCCGUGCUCAUGGCGUGGUUGGCCGAAAUAGGAGUCCUUUCGAUGGACGCACGAACUAGUGGUGGUCGUAAAAACCCUCGUCUUUUGUUUCGUGCUGUUGCUCGCAAGGUAAACUCUUUAAAAACCCCAAUGUGUCGUCUCUUGACGACGCUUCGACCGCGACCCCAGGUCAGGCGGGACUACCCGCUGAGUUUAAGCAUAUCAAUAAGCGGAGGA
rnacentral:misc_RNA from 1 species